CAGCCCCUCGAGUGGUGGGGAUGAUUAUUUGGCCUAAAGCGUCCGUAGCCGGCCGAGUAAGUCCCCCGUUAAAUCCAGCGUCUCAAGCGUUGGACUGCGGGAGAUACUACUUGGCUAGAGAGUGGGAGAGGUCAGCGGUAUUCUGGGGGUAGGGGCGAAAUCCUUUGAUCCCCGGAGGACCACCAGUGGCGAAGGCUGCUGACUAGAACACGUCUGACGGUCAGGGACGAGAGCUGGGGUAGCGAACCGGAUUAGAUACCCGAGUAGUCC
rnacentral:rRNA from 1 species